rnacentral:rRNA from 1 species
ACUCAAAUGAAUUGACGGGGGCCCGCACAAGCAGCGGAGCAUGUGGUUUAAUUCGAUGCGACGCGAAGAACCUUACCCAGACUUGACAUGCUUGUGAAAGCUUGAGGAAACUCAGGUCCUGUCUUCGGACACACUUGCACAGGUGGUGCAUGGCUGUCGUCAGCUCGUGCCGUGAGGUGUUGGGUUAAGUCCCGCAACGAGCGCAACCCUCGUCCUUAGUUGAUUUUCUAGGGAGACUGCCGGGAGAAACCUGGAGGAAGGUGGGGAUGACGUCAAGUCAUCAUGCCCUUUAUGUCUGGGGCUACACACAUGCUACAAUGGCCGGUACAACGGGUUGCCACUUCGCGAGAAGCAGCCAAUCCCUAAAAGCCGGCCUCAGUUCGGAUUGCAGGCUGCAACUCGCCUGCAUGAAGUCGGAGUUGCUAGUAACCGCAGGUCAGCAUACUGCGGUGAAUAUGUUCCCGGGCCUUGUACACACCGCCCGU